GGAGGGGUGGCAGAGCGGUUGAAUGCGACGGCCUUGAAAGCCGUUGGGCCUCGCAAGGGGUCUCGUGGGUUCGAAUCCCACCCCCUCCG
rnacentral:tRNA from 1 species